CUGGAGGACAGGUGCUGCAUGGCUGUGUCAGCUCGUGUCGUGAGAUGUUGGGUUAAGUCCCGCAACGAGCGCAACCCUUGCCUUUAGUUGCCAGCAGUUCGGCUGGGCACUCUAAAGGGACUGCCGGUGUUAAACCGGAGGAAGGUGGGGAGUGACGUCAAGUCCUCAUGGCCUUUAUGACCAGGGCUACACACGUACUACAAUGGCCGAUACAAAGGGCAGCGACACUGCGAGGUGAAGCCAAUCCCGUAAAAUCGGUCUCAGUCCGGAUUGGAGUCUGCAACUCGACUCCAUGAAGUUGGAAUCGCUAGUAAUCGUGGAUCAGCAUGCCACGGUGAAUACGUUCCCGGGCCUU
rnacentral:rRNA from 1 species